AGCAGUAGCGCGGUAAUACAGAGGGUGCGAGCGUUAAUCGGAUUUACUGGGCGUAAAGCGUGCGUAGGCGGCUUCUUAAGUCGGAUGUGAAAUCCCUGAGCUUAACUUAGGAAUUGCAUUCGAUACUGGGAAGCUAGAGUAUGGGAGAGGAUGGUAGAAUUCCAGGUGUAGCGGUGAAAUGCGUAGAGAUCUGGAGGAAUACCGAUGGCGAAGGCAGCCAUCUGGCCUAAUACUGACGCUGAGGUACGAAAGCAUGGGGAGCAAACAGGAUUAGAGACCCCAGUAGUCCCUGUCUCUUAUACA
rnacentral:rRNA from 1 species